rnacentral:rRNA from 2 species
UACGUAGGUGACAAGCGUUAUCCGGAAUUACUGGGCGUAAAGCGCACGCAGGCGGCCGAUCAAGUCUGACGUGAAAUCUCCUGGCUUAACUGGGAGGGGUCGUUGGAAACUGGUUGGCUUGAGGUGGUGAGAGGGGUGUGGAAUUCCCGGUGUAGUGGUGGAAUGCGUAGAUAUCGGGAGGAACACCAGUGGCGAAAGCGGCACCCUGGCACUGACCUGACGCUCAUGUGCGAAAGCGUGGGGAGCAAACGGG